AAUCCAAAUCAAAAUGAAACCAGUCUAUGUUAAACCUGAAUCCAAACCCAAUAGCCAACCUACAUAAUUAAACCAAACCCAAUCCAAUUAUUUAUCCAAAUUGAUCCAAGCCGAACCCAACCCAAUUAAUUCCAAUCCAAAUGAGCCCAUAUCAAACCUCUUCUCUAGCAUAUAUAACUAGAGUUAAAUCUCAACACAUUCAAACUCGAUCAAAUUCUAAAAUAUUUGAUUAGAGUUGACCAAAUCAUAUACAAGGUUUCACCUGAUCAAAUCAAUUGAGCUCUAAUACAUCUACUUAGAGUUCAUGUAAAUGAAAUUAAACUCUAAUACAUACACUUAGAGUUUAAUUUCGGCUAAUCCUAACACAUAUAAUUAGGAUUUGGUCCGCAUCUCGCUACAUGGUGGACAUAAAUUCAUCUUAUGGCGAACCCAAAUGAAAUUAAAUUGGACUCUAAUAUAUACAUUUAGAGUUUAAUUUAAAAUAUUUUGACUAAUCCUAACAUAUGUAAUUAGGAUUUAGUUCAUGUGAAACCAAAUUAGACUCUAAUACAUACACUUAGAGUUUAAUUUAAAUCAAAUUUUGACUAAUCCUAAUACAUAUAAUUAGGAUUUAGUUAAUAUUUGGCCUUAUGGUGAACUUAAUUAAGCUCGAACAUAUAAGCAUAGAGCUUAAUUAUACUAGACUUUAAGAUAUAAAAUUAGAGUCUAAUCCAAAAUAUUUGAGCUAAUCCUAACAUAUACAUCUAGGAUGAAAGCUUAAAUCAAAUCCCAUUGGACUUUAUCACAUAUAUUUAAAGUUCAAUUAACUAAAUCAAACUCUAAUUCAUUUAAUUAGAGUUUAAUUUGAAUCAAAUCUGAUUAAAUUCCAAUGUAUAUACUGGGAAUUUAACCAACCUUUCAUCUCAGGAUGAAUAAUAUCUUGGUUCAGAAUCAAAUUCAAUCAACCGUCAUACUGAAUUAUGUUAUAAAAUUCAUCUUUUAUUCAAUCACAGCAUUACAAAGGUCUCUUAAUCGAAGGUGCCCUAACACUUUGUAGGGGUAAUUAACAAUAGACGCUUGCGUUUAUUGGAAGCCAUGGAUCCGCAAUACCUUUUAACCAUACAUACACAUACUGUAAUCUACAUCAUGAAUACUACCCCAUGGUAAAAAUCAAAAUAAGAUCAACCGUGCGAGAUACGUCAUUCGUGGUGGCAGACAGGGUGUUAAUGUAAUUGUACAUAUCUUUGCAUGCUAGUGAUAGUUGGGUUGUGGAUACAAUGAAUGAAAACCUAGUAUGCAUGAGUUGAAUACCAUGAGAUAGUUUGCCCUAUAUAUGAUGAAUAUGUUUAUGUGAAUAUGAACCUAGUGUAUUGGAAACUAGUGUAUCAAGAACUUGUCAAGAGAACGAGUGGCAUCUAGUUAACCUUAAACAUUGAACGAGUGGCAUUAAGUAGUGCGAGAGUGGCAUGAGAACACUAGUAUAGUUGAGAUACUAUGU
rnacentral:lncRNA from 1 species